CCCUUAGAUGUUCUGGGCCGCACGCGCGCUACACUGAUGCAUUCAACGAGUCUAAAACCUGGUCUGAUAGGGCUGGGUAAUCUUUUGAAUGUGCAUCGCGAUUGGGAUAGAUGAUUGCAAUUCUUCAUCUUCAACGAGGAAUGCCUAGUAAACGCAAGUCAUCAGCUUGCAUUGAUUACGUCCCUGCCCUUUGUACACACCGCCCGUCGCUCCUACCGAUUGAAUGUUCCGAUGAAUACCAUGGACUGAGAGUAUGAAUGGGUUCGCCUAUUUCUGCUUCUCGGGAAGUGGAGUAAAUCUUAACAUUUAGAGGAAGGAGAAGUCGUAACA
rnacentral:rRNA from 1 species